AGCAAAAUGGUAUUUCCAGGCAGGCACAGGGUUGCCGGGUAGUGAGCCAAUCCACAGCUUUGUCUGAGCAGCUGAGGACUUUGCCGAGUCUUACCACGGUGUUCGGUGACACAGACCUGUGCCAUGAGCAAGGAAAGCACUGAGCAAGUGUCAGGGUCAAUAUUUAUAGACCACGACGUAGCUGCCUCGCGGAGAGACACACACAGAGGGCAAAGCGAGACCGCGGUGGAGGGAACUUUAGUUUCCCUUGUUUUUUUUCUGGAAAAAAAAAAUUCUUUUUAACUCUCAGGUUCACACGUCUGCAGAAUCAUAACCAUUUGUUGCUGAGCGAUGACAAGCGAGGAAAGGAAAAGUUAAAUGAGCAAGCCUGCCCUGAGUGAGGAGCCAACUUCCCUGAUAACAUGCUUUUGCGAAGCUCAGGAAAACUAAAUGUGGGCACCAAGAAAGAGGAUGGUGAGAGUACAGCCCCCACCCCUCGUCCGAAGGUCUUGCGUUGUAAAUGCCACCACCAUUGCCCAGAAGACUCUGUCAACAAUAUUUGCAGGUUGGUGAUAUGAAUUAUUUAAACUCAGCUGC